GUGCCAGCCGCCGCGGUAAUACGUAGGGUGCGAGCGUUGUCCGGAAUUACUGGGCGUAAAGAGCUCGUAGGUGGUUUGUCGCGUCGUCUGUGAAAUUCCGGGGCUCAACUCCGGGCGUGCAGGCGAUACGGGCAUAACUUGAGUGCUGUAGGGGAGACUGGAGUUCAUGGUGUAGCGGUGAAAUGCGCAGAUAUCAGGAGGAACACCGGUGGAGAAGGCAGUGCUCUGGGCAGUAACUGACGCUGAG
rnacentral:rRNA from 1 species